CCUACGGGUGGCAGCAGUGGGGGAUAUUGCACAAUGGGGGAAACCCUGAUGCAGCGACGCCGCGUGUGGGAAGACGGUCCUCUGGAUUGUAAACCACUGUCCCCAGGGACGAAGAUGACGGUACCUGGGGAUGAAGCUCCGGCAAACUACGUGCCAGCAGCCGCGGUAAUACGUAGGGAGCGAGCGUUGUCCGGAAUUACUGGGGGAAAAGGGAGCGUAGGCGGGACGGCAAGUUGGGUGUCAAAUCUACCGGCUCAACCGGUAGCCGCACUCAAAACUGCAGUUCUUGAGUGAAGUAGAGGCAGGCGGAAUUCCUGGUGUAGCGGUGAAAUGCGUAGAUAUUAGGAGGAACACCAGUGGCGAAGGCGGCCUGCUGGGCUUUUACUGACGCUGAGGCUCGAAAGUGUGGGGAGCAAACAGGAUUAGAUACCCCGGUAGUC
rnacentral:rRNA from 1 species